UCACUUUCAACAACGGAUCUCUUGGCUCUCGCAUCGAUGAAGAACGUAGCGAAGUGCGAUAAGUAAUGUGUAUUGCAGAAUCCGUGAGUCAUCGAAUCUUUGACGCAAAUGCACUCUCUGGGAUUCCGGGAAUGCUGUUU
rnacentral:rRNA from 1 species